UACGUAGGGGGCUAGCGUUGUCCGGAUUUAUUGGGCGUAAAGAGCGUGUAGGCGGCCAGGUAGGUCUGCUGUGAAAACUCGAGGCUCAACCUCCAGACGUCGAUGGAAACCGUCUGGCUAGAGUCCGGAAGAGGAGAGUGGAAUUCCUGGUGUAGCGGUGAAAUGCGCAGAUAUCAGGAAGAACACCCGUGGCGAAAGCGGCUCUCUGGGACGGUACUGACGCUGAGACGCGAAAGCGUGGGGAGCGAACAGG
rnacentral:rRNA from 1 species